rnacentral:rRNA from 1 species
UACAGAGGUCCCAAGCGUUGUUCGGAUUCACUGGGCGUAAAGGGUGCGUAGGUGGCCAGGUAAGUUUGGUGUGAAAGCUCGGAGCUUAACUCCGAAAAGUCAUUGAAUACUAUCUGGCUGGAGGGUCGGAGGGGAGACUGGAAUUCUCGGUGUAGCAGUGAAAUGCGUAGAUAUCGAGAGGAACACCAGUGGCGAAGGCGAGUCUCUGGACGACUCCUGACGAGCUGAGGCA